rnacentral:misc_RNA from 1 species
AAGUCGUAACAAGGUUUCUGUAGGAACCUGCGGAAGGAUCAUUAACACGUAUCCCACGUUAACCCCCUGUAGCAAUCCCUGGUAAAUCAUUUGCUGACCAGCUUUGAGUCAGGCCUCUGCAGAUUGUGAUAUUUUAUAGCUACGGUUGAGCGAUUGCAUCUAGUGACCUGGCAUUCCCAAGUAAUCAGUGUUCUGAAAGUGUCAUUCAUUGGCGCAGUCACGAUCGCUUUAGGUCCACAGGGUCACCGGGCUCUGCUCCUUUACGACAACUACAGUCUAACUUCGCCGCGCGUGAAAUUCGCACGGCACCAAAAACCGAACAACUGUUAACAAUGGAUAUCUUGGUUCUC